CUCUUGGCUCGUGCCGGUGUGACGACACGUAUAGCGACCCUCCCGUUUUGCAACUAUACUGUUUUAAUUCAGUGAGGACUGCACAGGAAGCCAACACAGUGGCUCCCCAAAUAAGAACAUCCUGGCAUACAUUUGAAACAGAGAAAGCUAUUGACAUUGAAGAUCCUAUUCCGUCUCCAGCAAAGCUGCAAGCCUUGUUUUGUCCGGCUGGGAGCCUGGAGAUCACAAGGAUACCAAACAGGUAAAAGCCCUCUGAGGGGGAGGGGGUUGUCCAUUGCCAAAAGGUUGUCCAAGGAGACAAGCUGACAAAGAAAGACUCUGCUGAGAAGUCUUUAGGAAGUUAAAUCUACCAAGAUUCCCACGUGAAAGACACCUGGAUGUCCAUAGAGUCAGUUUAUUAUUUUAAGAUCUAUUUUCUCUGAAAUGCUUUUGUUCAAAAUAAAUAUUUUUAAAAGGC